rnacentral:tRNA from 1 species
ACUGCCGUGGCCGAGUGAUUAAGGCGAUGGACUAGAAAUCCAUUGGGGUCUCCCCUCGCAGGUUGGAAUUCUGUCGACUGCG